GGGUACCGUCAGGCCUAACGUGUAUUAUACGUUAGGAGGUUCUUCCCCUCUGACAGAGCUUUACGACCCAAGAGCCUUCAUCACUCACGCGGCGUUGCUGCGUCAGGGUUUCCCCCAUUGCGCAAAAUUCCUC
rnacentral:rRNA from 1 species